rnacentral:rRNA from 1 species
UCCGGAGGGAGCUAUCGUUGUUCGGAAUUACUGGGCGUAAAGCGCACGUAGGCGGCUUUUUAAGUCAGGGGUGAAAUCCCGGGGCUCAACCUCGGAACUGCCCUUGAAACUGGGAAGCUAGAAUCUUGGAGAGGCGAGUGGAAUUCCGAGUGUAGAGGUGAAAUUCGUAGAUAUUCGGAAGAACACCAGUGGCGAAGGCGACUCGCUGGACAAGUAUUGACGCUGAGGUGCGAAAGCGUGGGGAGAAAACAGG